UACGUAGGCAGCGAGCGUUGUUCGGACUUACUGGGCGUAAAGAGUGUGUAGGCGGUGCUCUAAGUUCGGUGUGAAAUCUCCUGGCUCAACUGGGAGGGUGCGCCGGAAACUGGAGUGCUUGAGCGUGGGAGAGGAAAGCGGAAUUCCUGGUGUAGCGGUGAAAUGCGUAGAUAUCAGGAGGAACACCUGUGGUGUAGACGGCUUUCUGGACCAUAGCUGACGCUGAGACACGAAAGCGUGGGUAGCAAACAGG
rnacentral:rRNA from 1 species